GCAAAAUGGAAGCUGCUUAAUUUGGACGGCUUAGAAUUAAUUGGAAAUGUAGAAUCACUCUACUAUCAUAUAUAGGAAUUAGAAAGAUGGAGAGAAAGAAAAUGGUCAAAGAUCAGGAGUGCAUGCAUAAAUUCUAGAGUUCUAAAAUCUUCUCUAAAUCACCCGACAAAUGAGUUUUAGCAACAAGCUAGCAAAUUAAAGAGCAAUACUUAUAGGGACAACCACCCCUAGAACCCCACUGCAGCCUUGGCUGAUGUGGCUUAUGGCAGUCAAUAUUAUUUUUAAAAAAUAAAAUAAAAUAAAAACAAGAAAAAAAGCACAGAAAAGGGAGGGAAAGCACGAAUUUUGAGGGGCAUUUGGUGAUCUGAGCAUUUUGUGAGAAAGAAGCCAGAGAGGGAGAUCUGAGCACUUUAUGGGUUCGAUCGCCGUCAUUAGCCGUCUUUGGUCGCCAUCCCAACUUCCAGAUCUCUGAGUUGUGGGUUGUCGGUGGCAUCUAUGCUUGCCUUUGAUUCUGUUUUGGUGAUUUGGUAUCAUCUGGGUUCAGCCACGGCUUUCCCUCUUAUUUUCGGUGUAUUCUGGUCGUGGGUCCUGUGCCUUUACGCGUGCGGCCUUCUUUGCUCCAUAGCCAUUCGUUAGCUUUCUGUGAAGUUUUGAUGGCAUGGGAAACAGGAAAGAACAACUAUCUACGCUAAUACCAGGCAGCUCAAACACCCCAUCUGCAGUAUAUAUCAAUAACAUUGGAAUUUGUUGAGUUGAUAUUUAUUUUCAAAAUACAUCAAUAACUUUAUCUAAUAACAUGUUAGUGCAUACCAUCAACUAGUCCAAAUAUCUCAAAUUACAUGCAUGAUUACUAUGGAGCAGUGCCUGCAUGGUCAUCGGCCUUUCUGCCAUAUUUAGUUGGCAAGCAAUACCCAUUUCAACAUGGCAUGGAACCUCCGACUCCUCACAUCAAUACAAGCUCCACUACAAGUAACUACAAAGGUACAGAGGAUAAUAGAUCCGAUGGUGGGGAAAUUGAAGCGCCAUGUACAUCUCAUAGAGUUGAAGAAAGUAUUAAGGAUAAAUGAAAUAUACAAGAAAUUGAGGAUGGCAGUGCCGGGACAUCUCAGAAUGUGGUAAUGGAUGAUGAUGAUAUGGUUGAGGAGCCAAAGUUGGAGAUGGAGUUUAAUUCCCUUGAAAAUUUAUUGAGUUAUUAUAAGCAAUACGGUAAGAAAUGCAGCUUUGGGGUGAUGAUGAAAAGAACUGAGAGGGGAGAAGAUGAGACUAUUAGAUAUGUCACCAUUGCUUGUGCUCGGGGUGGGAAGGCCCAGAAUAGGACUUGAAUAUUGCCAACCCACGUUCGACAAGAAAGACGGAAUGUAAGUCAAAGACUAAUGCAUUAAGAAUUGAUGGAAAGUUUCAGUUGACUACAGUACAUAAUAUCCAUAAUUACGGCCUCAGUUUAAAAAAAUUCAUCUUCUUUCGAUGUAAUAGAGAAGUGAGUGACUCGAUAAAAAGGAUCCUAUAUACAAAUGACUUGGCUGGCAUCCGGAUGAAUAAG